rnacentral:rRNA from 1 species
GUCCGGAAAGAAAUCCUCUGGGUUAAUACCUCGGGGGGAUGACGGUACCGGAAGAAUAAGCACCGGCUAACUACGUGCCAGCAGCCGCGGUAAUACGUAGGGUGCAAGCGUUAAUCGGAAUUACUGGGCGUAAAGCGUGCGCAGGCGGUUUUGUAAGACGGAUGUGAAAUCCCCGGGCUCAACCUGGGAACUGCAUUCGUGACUGCAAGGCUAGAGUAUGGCAGAGGGGGGUAGAAUUCCACGUGUAGCAGUGAAAUGCGUAGAGAUGUGGAGGAAUACCGAUGGCGAAGGCAGCCCCCUGGGCCAAUACUGACGCUCAUGCACGAAAGCGUGGGGAGCAAACAGGAUUAGAUACCCUGGUAGUCCACGCCCUAAACGAUGUCA